rnacentral:rRNA from 1 species
UACGUAGGGGGCAAGCGUUGUCCGGAUUUAUUGGGCGUAAAGAGCGUGUAGGCGGCUAGGUAGGUCCGUUGUGAAAACUCGAGGCUCAACCUCGAGACGCCGAUGGAAACCAUCUGGCUAGAGUCCGGAAGAGGAGAGUGGAAUUCCUGGUGUAGCGGUGAAAUGCGCAGAUAUCGGGAGGAACACCAGUAGCGAAGGCGGCACUCUGGGCCGGUACUGACGCUGAGGAGCGAAAGCGUGGGGAGCAAACAGG